CAAGCCUGAUGCAGCCAUGCCGCGUGUAUGAAGAAGGCCUUCGGGUUGUAAAGUACUUUCAGCGGGGAGGAAGGUGUUGUGGUUAAUAACCGCAGCAAUUGACGUUACCCGCAGAAGAAGCACCGGCUAACUUCGUGCCAGCAGCCGCGGUAAUACGAAGGGGGCUAGCGUUGUUCGGAUUUACUGGGCGUAAAGUGCACGUAGGCGGACUUUUAAGUCAGGGGUGAAAUCCCGGGGCUCAACCCCGGAACUGCCUUUGAUACUGGAAGUCUUGAGUAUGGUAGAGGUGAGUGGAAUUCCGAGUGUAGAGGUGAAAUUCGUAGAUAUUCGGAGGAACACCAGUGGCGAAGGCGGCUCACUGGACCAUUACUGACGCUGAGGUGCGAAAGCGUGGGGAGCAAACA
rnacentral:rRNA from 2 species